rnacentral:rRNA from 1 species
UCCGGUAUCUCUAGCGAAGUGGAUACACCCGAUCCCAUUCCGAACUCGGCAGUUAAGCACUUCAGCCCCGAUGAUAUCUAGGCAGCAGUCUAGGAAAAGUAGGACGGUGCCGGGA